GACGAACGCUGGCGGCGUGCUUAACACAUGCAAGUCGAGCGGAAAGGCCCUUCGGGGUACUCGAGCGGCGAACGGGUGAGUAACACGUGAGUAACCUGCCCCAGACUUUGGGAUAACCCUCGGAAACGGGGGCUAAUACCGGAUACGACACAGCUUCGCAUGGGGACUGUGUGGAAAGUUUUUCGGUUUGGGAUGGGCUCGCGGCCUAUCAGCUUGUUGGUGGGGUGAUGGCCUACCAAGGCGACGACGGGUAGCCGGCCUGAGAGGGCGACCGGCCACACUGGGACUGAGACACGGCCCAGACUCCUACGGGAGGCAGCAGUGGGGAAUAUUGCACAAUGGGCGGAAGCCUGAUGCAGCGACGCCGCGUGAGGGAUGACGGCCUUCGGGUUGUAAACCUCUUUCAGCAGGGACGAAGCGUAAGUGACGGUACCUGCAGAAGAAGCGCCGGCCAACUACGUG
rnacentral:rRNA from 1 species